rnacentral:lncRNA from 1 species
AAAAAAGAAACAGAUCCCUUGGCUGGAGGUCGGAUAACGUUCUGAAGGAGUUGAGAGCUGAGGAGGAAUGUUUUCAGAAGCAGCUUCCAUCUGUGUGAAGUGAUGGGGCAACAAUGGGAAAAGGACUUGAAAUGAUUCUUGUUCGACACUCGGAAUGCACUCUCCUCUUUGGAGUUAUCAAGAAACUAAGGUCAUCUGUUGGGUAGAACGACUAGGUUAGCUGUCCUGAGACGCAUACCGGGAAGCAUGGCCAUAUGCCAAGAGUGAAGCAGCUUUCCUCCACUAUGCCCGUCUGGCAUGAUGUUUCUGCCUUGGAAGCAGCCAAUGAUAGACUGAAACCACUGAAAGCAUGAGCAAAAAUAUACUUCCCCUCAGCUUAGUUGCGGAUGUCAACUACUUUGUUCCAGUAAUUGAAAGCUUUUGGAAUUUCUUUGCAGGAGGAGUUUGAAAAGGUUUGGAGAUUUGGGCUAGAAUGCUGUAAGCAAAGUUUGAUGGACAAUAGUGGUAGCAGCUCAGAAGACCAGAAUGCUGAUAGCAAUGUGAACAGUAAAAACAGUGCUCAUAAGGUUUCAGAUAGGAAUGAGGACUUUUGGGAAUUCAACUAGAGGCCAUGCAUGUUAAAUUUUGGUAAAAAACUUCUCUACAUUUUGUCCAUAUCCCAAGACUUCAUGUGAGGCUGAGUUUAAAGAUGGUAAAGUAAUUUAUCUG